ensembl:lncRNA
AUGCAGAAGGACCUAACAUGUUCCAAGAACUGUGUUAAGCACUCCACAAAUGCUAUCUCAUUCAAUCUUCAAAACAGCUCUGAGAGAGUCAAGACAAGACCAGUGGCAAAACAAAAGUCAAGACAACUGGUGAUGGUCCAGGAUACAAUGGAUGAACUUGGUCCUACUAAACUAAAAGCUACACAGGACCUGCUUCAGAUACCCUUAUGGCCAUUGGAACAGACCAUUCUCAUACAUCCAUUUCACCAAAAGUCUUCACAUUCCCCUAAGUCACCAAUGGAUGCCUUCCACAUUGUUUAGCCCAUCUAACAUGACUGUUUUAUUGGGAUAUGGCCAGUGAGAUUCUUGGAGCCACAAGUGAGAGUUGGGUGAAAGGAGGACACCCAAGUUAAUAACUAGCCCUAAAAAGGGCUCAGCAAACCCUCCCCCAGAGGUGCUAGAACUCCCUAAAUACCCCAUACACCCCAUAGUGGGGAUCACAUAUAGAAUCAAGGAGGUUCCAGUUCUAGGAGAAUACUCUAAAGUGCAGAGACAGUCCAUCCCUCCCACAUCAUCACAGAUAUCUGGAAACAGGCUCCCUAAGAUUCCACUUGGGACCCCUGCUAUGGUCCCAGGACUGGACCCUCAAUGGUCAGCAACCCAUUACAGUUUAAAUGCUUUCUUCUAUUUCUCCCAGCUUUGGUGACUACAACAUAGUAAACAUUUUAAUUAUUGUUGGUUGAUCAGGGUCAUUUGAAAGCAUCAUCAAAAUUUCAUUUUUGGAAGUCCAGCAUUCCUUUCUAAUUAUUUUUCCUUUAAUGCUUUCCCUAGCAUUUCCCUUCCUUCCUGUAUGGAUUCUAAGAUGGCCUGGUCACUUUCUAGAAAGAUUCCUGGUAGUCAGAACAUAGUCUAAAAUAGUAGUUCUCUGAUUCCUCUAUCUUCUUCCAAAAGAAGAAAAUGACAAGAAGACUAGUCAAGAAGAAGAAUAACUAGCAUCUAUAUAGUAAUUUAAUGCAAAGCAUUUUGUAUUAUCUCAUUAGUUACUCACAACAAUCCUAUGAGGCAGGUGCUCUAUUUAUACAAAACUGAGGCUGAGAGAACUUGUGAUUUGUCCAGGGUUAUAGGUAAUACAAGUCUAGGGUCUAGGCUGAAGUUGAAUUCAUGUCCUCCUGACUACAGUCCCAUAGGCCAUGCACUAUUCCAUUUAGCUGCCAAGAACGUACUAAAUUUUUAGCAAAACGAGUCUUCUAAUAGAUUUUCAAGUAGUUUCCCCCUCCCUCAACAAAAAUGAAGUUUUUAUGUUUUUUAUUUAUUUGUUAUAUUAAAAUACCCAGGUAACAUCAAUCCUCUAAUUUUUUAAAAUACUUUUUUAUUGGGGGAGAUAGAAGUAGGGUUAGAUAUUGAUAUAGAUAUAAGUAUGGACACUGAUUAGGGACAGCUAGUUGGUAUAGUGGAUAGAGUACCAGACCCAAAGUUAGGAAUAUUCAUCUUCCUGAGUUCAAAUCUGGCCUCAGACAACAGCUAUGUGACUCUGGGCAACUAAACCCUAUUGGUCUCAGUUUCCUCAUCUGCAAAGUGAACUAGAGAAGGAAAACCCCAAGCAGGUCAGACAUGAGUAAAAAAUGACAAAAGCUUUGUGGUUGGACUCAUAAAGGUCUUUAUUGUGUCUUGGUAGGUAGAUUCUCUGAUGUUUUAUAAAUCCUGCAGAUAUUUUGAAUAAAAUUUCUCCUAUGUUUUCCUGCUGAGCUUUU